rnacentral:rRNA from 1 species
UACGGAGGGUGCAAACGUUGCUCGGAAUCAUUGGGCGUAAAGCGCACGUAGGCGGCCACGCAAGUUGAAUGUGAAAGCCCAGGGCUCAACCCUGGAAGUGCAUCCAAAACUGCGUGGCUUGAGUCCCGGAGGGGCCCAGAGAAUUCCCGGUGUAGAGGUGAAAUUCGUAGAUAUCGGGAGGAAUACCAGUGGCGAAGGCGCUGGGCUGGACGGGUACUGACGCUGAGGUGCGAAAGCGUGGGGAGCAAACAGG